UCUUGUGAUGAAAACUUUGUCCAGUUCUGCUACUGAGUGGCCAGAGAUGACACCCUUUCUUCUGAUGA